GUACUCACUUCAGCCAUACAUUUACUAUAAUUGGAGUGACAUGGAAAAGAUUAGCAUGGCCCCAGUGCAAGAAUGACAUGAAAAUUCAUGAAGUGUUCCAUAUUUUU